UCGCGGCCCAACCUCCCACCCGUGUCUCUCUCUACCUGUUGCUUUGGCGGGCCCACCGGGGCCACCCGGUCGCCGGGGGACGUCCGUCCCCGGGCCCGCGCCCGCCGAAGCGCUCUGUGAACCCUGAUGAAGAUGGGCUGUCUGAGUCGAAUGAAAAUUGUCAAAACUUUCAACAAUGGAUCUCUUGGUUCCGGCAUCGAUGAAGAACGCAGCGAAAUGCGAUAAGUAAUGUGAAUUGCAGAAUUCCGUGAAUCAUCGAAUCUUUGAACGCACAUUGCGCCCCCUGGCAUUCCGGGGGGCAUGCCUGUCCGAGCGUCAUUUCUGCCCUCAAGCCCGGCUUGUGUGUUGGGCGUGGUCCCCCCGGGGACCUGCCCGAAAGGCAGCGGCGACGUCCGUCUGGUCCUCGAGCGUAUGGGGCUUUGUCACUCGCUCGGGACGGAUCGGCGGAGGUUGGUCACCACCACAGUUUUACCACGGUUGACCUCGGAUCAGGUAGGAGUUACCCGCUGAACUUAAGCAUAUCAUA
rnacentral:rRNA from 1 species